rnacentral:rRNA from 1 species
AACUUCUGAAUGUUGACCUCGAAUCAGGUAGGAAUACCCGCUGAACUUAAGCAUAUCAAUAAGCGGAGGAAAAGAAACCAACAGGGAUUGCCCCAGUAACGGCGAGUGAAGCGGCAACAGCUCAAAUUUGAAAUCUGGCUCUCGGGCCCGAGUUGUAAUUUGUAGAGGAUGCUUUUGGUGAGGUGCCUUCCGAGUUCCCUGGAACGGGACGCCAUAGAGGGUGAGAGCCCCGUCUGGUUGGACACCGAUCCUCUGUAAAGCUCCUUCGACGAGUCGAGUAGUUUGGGAAUGCUGCUCUAAAUGGGAGGUAUAUGUCUUCUAAAGCUAAAUACCGGCCAGAGACCGAUAGCGCACAAGUAGAGUGAUCGAAAGAUGAAAAGAACUUUGAAAAGAGAGUUAAACAGUACGUGAAAUUGUUGAAAGGGAAGCGCUUGUGACCAGACUUGGGCUUGGUUGAUCAUCCGGGGUUCUCCCCGGUGCACUCUUCCGGCCCAGGCCAGCAUCAGUUCGCCCUGGGGGACAAAGGCUUCGGGAAUGUGGCUCUCUCCGGGGAGUGUUAUAGCCCGUUGCGUAAUACCCUGUGGCGGA